UUGGCUUCUUCAAUUUUCAUUAGAUCAAUCUCUCCCUCCCUCCUUCAAUGGAGAAUAACUACCAUGAUUGCAAUUUCAAAACAAAAAGACCAAAAAAAUACCAUGAUUGGAGUCCUUUCUUAUUUUCCUCUCCACCUUGUUCUUAGUUGCCCUCUCCUUCUCACUCACUAUCAUCGUCUCCUCCAUUAUCUCCAAGUCUAGGUUCCCCUUUUGAAUCUUCCUCAAGUCUUCCCCCACAUACUAUCCAAUCUUCUUCAAGUUCUUUCUAUCCUUCUGCUGCUGCUGCUGCUGCUAAUCUUGGGCCAUGCACUGCCUGCAAAAUCCAUGGUCAACGAUGCUCUGACAAGUGUUAUGUAGCUUCCUACUUACCACCUACUGAUUCACACAAAUUCACUGUCAUUGAUGGAAUGUUAGGGACUACCAAUAUCGUCAGCUUCUUGCAGAAUAACAACUCAUCUUCAUAUGUUCCACUAUUAUUAUUAUUGAGAGACAUAAGUAGUCAAGAUGGAGAACUCCAGGCAGACACAAGUACUCAGGAGGUUCCGAAAAUCUUAUCUGAUGCAUCCAAUGUGGAUGGAGCUUUAUAUGAUGGUUAUAAUUGCAGAAAAUAUGGGCAAAAUCAAGUACAAGGAAUUAGUGCAGUAAUUAACCUUUCAUCCAUAACUAGUAAAGCGCGACGCAGAGCAUUUGUAUUGGACAUUCCACGACAUUCCAAAUGCAACAAUAGUCUUAAGCAUGCAACUUCUUUCAAUUGAUAGAAUGCUCAGUUAAUUGUCCCAACCAGUAUCCUACAGCAAUGGUAACCGGUGGGAUUUUAUCCUAGCAAUUCGUAAAGCUGUUGAGUAUCCUAAACUAUUUCUUCUUUCAUAGAUGUGGCCUAAAUUUAUGGUGGCGCAUGCUCUCUCUAAUCGUGAUGGAAAAUAUGAGUUUUCUUUUAUAUACGGAAUGAUGAGCCUGAGAGGGUGCAAGUUAGAGGUCUGAGAUGCCUUGAACUUAUGGCCCGGCCAGUUUGGCCACAUGUAUGAAAAUUUUCAUUUAAGCA